rnacentral:rRNA from 1 species
UACGUAGGGGGCGAGCGUUGUCCGGAAUUACUGGGCGUAAAGGGCGAGUAGGCGGUUGCGUAAGUCAGAUGUGAAAUACCAGGGCUCAACCCUGGGGCUGCAUUUGAAACUGCGUAACUUGAGUGCAGGAGAGGAAAGUGGAAUUCCCAGUGUAGCGGUGAUAUGCGUAGAUAUUGGGAGGAACACCAGUGGCGAAGGCGACUUUCUGGACUGUAACUGACGCUGAGGCGCGAAAGCGUGGGGAGCAAAC